AGAAUAGGAAAAUUGAUGAGUUUCACUACCAGAGAAUGUUCAGACUGAGAAGGGAGUUCGACAGGGCAUUGGGAUUGCUGCACAUGUUGAAGAACAGGGAGAUUUUGAAGCACCAAAUGAUAACCAACCUGGUGCAAACAGUACGAACAAUGUUUCGUACAAGAAAUUAUGGACAUGUUAUAAAUGGGUAUGAUCUGUCUAUUUGUCGCCUAUCGAGUUCUCCGGUUUCUGCUUCAAAACGGGAUUUCCAUUUCGGGGAUUUUUCGGAGGAGGGUACUCGGGAUGACUACGACGGAUUGCUCCAUCCUCGGGUAGUCACCAAGACCGUGUUCCGUGAAGUGCGUCCUCUCCCACCGAAGGAUAGUCUGGAUGCUGAGUACACAUUCCAACGUCGUCGUGGAUGUCGUUACUCCAUUCCCCUUGUAUUUUUGUUGUCCUCCAUUUUAGCGUCAUUUCCAAAUUGUUUCUCCUGAGAAAAAAAUAGUGUGUCAGUCUUCUCGAUUUAAGCGUCCUCUCAAUGAUGAGUCAUCCAGUCAGAUUUUCAAUUCUUUUUCUGCUGACGGAGUUCAAUCCCUUCUCUGUGAGACUGUCGAUAGUUUGUUGGAUAUUCCACGGACUUUGGAUGGCAAAUACAGUGCUGCCAAUUUGUUGGCUACAGCUGGGAGUUGUGAAUUAUCUCAAGUGGAUGAUGAUACUGUCGAGUAUGCUUGAAAGCUCCUUUUUUAUCUCAGAACUUAUUUUUGUGAUGUGCUGCUGCUUUUU